AGAAGGGGCAAGGAGAAAAAUGAUUUGGGCAUGCUUCUACCUGGAAGAUGAAGGAAGCAACUCAGAUUAUCAUUUGUCCUGGGAGUAAGAAUUGCUAAAAGAAAAGUUUAAUACGUUCUGGAACGUUAGCUAAAUCUGAUUUGGAAAAAGAGAGAGAGAAGAAAAGGGAAAAAAUGGAAAUGAAAAGGGGAAAAAUAGAAAAAGGUCAGAAUGCUGCUCACAUCCAUGGCAAAGUAGAUUUUAAUGCUCCUUAGCUUCACACACUGCCUGCUGUACCACUUUCUCUGCCAAGUAAAAGCAUGGCUUUUAGUUCUUUCUGCUUUCCAAGGGAACACAUUUUUAAUGAAAUGUCAUUUAGGAGUAUUUGUUACUUCCUGUAAAAGCUUCUUUCAUGGUUUUGUGUGUGUGUGAAAAAAAAAAAAACAAAAAAACCCAAAAAAAACAGCCUCUUAAAAUGUAUU